rnacentral:rRNA from 1 species
GACGAACGCUGGCGGCGUGCCUAAUACAUGCAAGUCGAACGAGUGGCGGACGGGUGAGUAAUGUCUGGGAAACUGCCUGGUGGAGGGGGAUAACUACUGGAAACGGUAGCUAAUACCGCAUACCAUCAGAUGUGCCCAGAUGGGAUUAGCUUGUUGGUGGGGUAACGGCUCACCAAGGCGACGAUCGCUAGCUGGUCUGAGAGGAUGACCGGCCACACUGGAACUGGGACACGGUCCAGACUCGUACGGGAGGCAGCAGUGGGGAAGAGUGGCCAAUGGGCGCAAGCCUGAUGCAGCCAUGCCGCGUGUAUGAAGAAGGCCUUCGGGUUGUAAAGUACUUUCAGCGGGGAGGCGUUACCCACAGAAGAAGCACCGGCUAACUCCGUGCCAGCAGCCGCGGUAAUAC